rnacentral:lncRNA from 1 species
GUAAAAGUGGCAGAAACCUUUACAGGGAGACCCCAAAAAAUCUAAAAAAAUUCCCCAAAAUAAAAAAAAAUAUUCAAAAAAAUCCCCCAAAAAAUCCCCCAAAAAUCCCAAAAAUUCUUGAACCCCAAAAUCCCCCAAAACUCACCCAAAACCCUCUCCCCCAGCCCUCCCAGCUCCAGGUAGGCGUUCUGGAAGGUCUCAGCAAACCCCCAAAAAAAUUUAAAAAAAACUCCAAAAUAAUUCCAAAAAAAUAAAAAACAAAUUCGAAAAAAAUCCCAAAAAUUCCCAAAAAAAUCCCAGUACCCCAAAAAACCAAAUUCUCACCCAAAACCCUCUCUCCCAAGCCCCCAAGCUCCAGGUAAGCGUUCUGGAAGGCCUCCUUCAUCUCCUCGUCCAGCGGCUGCUCCUUGCCCUGCAGCAGGAUGGUGGAGCAGCGGUCCAGGAUGCGCUCGGGGGCGCCCUUCAUCACCAGCAGGUACCGGUUGUCGUUGGGGUCCUCGGUCUCGUGGAUGGACAGCUGGGGCCAAAAACGGGGAUUUUGGGUCUUUUGGGAUUUUUGGGAAUUUUUGGGGGAUUUUUUUGGGGGGGGUUUGUGGCGCCCAGGUGAGGUUAAAAGGGAAAUAAAUUGAAUUUUUGGGGCGCUUUUUAAAGGCGUCAUUCAGGUUUUUGGUGUCGUGGACGGACAGCUGGGGCCAAAAUUGGUGGGUUUGGGUCUUUGGGAAUUUUUGGGAAUUUUUUGGAAUUUUUGGGAAUUUUUUGGAAUUUUUGGGAAUUUUUAGAGGGGGCGGUUUGUACUGUCCAGGUGGGAAUAAAGUGAUUUUGGGACAUUUUUUCUGUGUUUUUGGUUUUUGGUGUGUUUUUGGGGUACCUGCUGGUGUUUUUUGGGGUUUUUUGGGUUCCCCUUUGGGUUUGGUUUUUUGGGGUUUUUUCUCAGUAUUUUUUGGGUGUUUUUUGAUGUUUUUAGGUUCCCCUUGGUGGUUUUGGGUUCCCCUCUGUGUUUUGAUAUUUUGGGGUUUUUUUUCAGUAUAUUUUGGGUGUUUUGGGGAUUUUUUGGGGUGGUUUUGGGGGUUUGGGGGUUUUUUUGGGUUCCCCUUGGUUGUUUUGGGUUCCCCUCAGGUUUUUGGUUUUUUGGGGGUUUUUUUUCAGUAUUUUUGGGGUGUUUUUUGGUGUUUUUGUGUUCCCCUUGGUGGUUUGGGAUUUUUGGGGUUUUUUCAGUAUUUUUUGGGUGUUUUUUGGGUUCCCCAUGGUUGUUUUGGAUUCCCCACUGUGUUUUGGUUUUUGGGGUUUUUUUUCAGUAUUUUUGGGGUGCUUUUUGGUGUUUUUGGGUUCCCCGUGGUUGUUUUGGAUUCCCCUCAGGUUUUUGGUUUUUUGGGGGGUUUUUUUCAGUAUUUUUUGGGGUGCUUUUUGGUGUUUUUGG